GGGUGGAACUCGGGACCUUGCGCUUGCCAGGCAGGCAGUGGAACCACUGAGCUACAUCCCGGCUGCAGGAGCCAUAAAAGGAUUGAGGCUGUGAUGCUCGCCACAGUGUGGACGGACCUUGAGGACGCCGUGCUCAGUGACAGACGCCAGACACAGAGGACACAGCGUGGGCUCCUCGGACAGGAAACGCCCAGGACAGGCAACUCCAGAGACAGGAAGUGGACAGGGGUCUCACUAGCUACAUAGCCCUGGGUUGGCCUUGAACUCUCAGUGGUCCUCCUGCCUCAGCCUCCUGAGUGCUGGGAUUACAGGACACAUAGCGGGCCAAGGCGGUGACCACCGGUGGCUUGAAGACAUCUUCACAGGUCAGGGAAGUAAAGGACAAAAAUCCUGCCACCUGGCCUUGGUCACACCAGAGGCCCACCCGAGUCACCCUGUCAGGGGGGACAGAAAGCAGGUCCCCAGAGUGUGCCACUGUGACCAUCACCCUCAGCCUCCCCUGAACCCGCCCCUGCCCAGCCCAGUCUGGCGUGGGGUGUGUCCACCAGUUUUCAGAGCUUUUCCUGAACCAGGGAGAGGCAAGUCUUCCCACAGGACGCCAGGGAUCCAUCCUUGCCACCCGAUGGAAAGCCACACCUGAAGCCAGACCUCCUGGACUUCUCAGCAAGGAGAAAAGUAACUAAGGCACCAUCAUAUUAAAGGCCCAAUUCAUCGAAGCCCACUCUCCCCGAGCCAGCAGAGUUCCGGACACCUCGCUCCCUGCCUUCCAUCUCACACUCCCAGGCUCCCGCCCUGGCCCAGCCUAGGGCUUUGGAAGUGACCACCUGGGCAGUCCUAGGUGGGCUCUUUAUGCUGAGCCCCGGUUUCUUGGUCCAAAACAUGGGGUGUUAACAGCCCUGCCUCCUGGGUCCUGUAUCCUGACUGCCAGCCACGGUUAGAGCAAGAAGCAUGGAGCAUGAGGUCUCAAAGGCCCCUCAGGACCUGGAGGGAGCUGGAGGAUGGCACAUUUGCCGCUCAGCCCUGGACGGUUCUGACGGUUCUGUAAAAGCACGCCCCGCACGACAGCAACUGCUGGACAUGGAGGAGUUCUCAUUUUUGUAGCUUGUCU
rnacentral:lncRNA from 1 species